CCCUUAGAUGUUCUGGGCCGCACGCGUGCUACACUGAGUGGAUCAGCGGGUCAGGUUGCGCGAAAGCGUUUCCUAAUCUUGAAAUCCGCUCGUGAUGGGGAUUGACGGUUGCAAUUUUCUGUCAUGAACGAGGAAUACCUUGUAAGCGCGAGUCAUCAUCCCGCGCUGAAUACGUCCCUGCCCUUUGUACACACCGCCCGUCGCUCCUACCGAUUGAGUGGUCCGGUGAGGCUUUGGGAUCUGAGCGGAAAGAGCGUCUCGCUCGUUCUGCCCGGAAAACUCAGUCGAACCUUAUCAUUUAGAGGAAGGAGAAGUCGUAACA
rnacentral:rRNA from 1 species